CCGAAAAGACGGAUGUGCGCGGCGAUUGUUACAAUUUACAAAUGUUACAGAGUGCACGCUAGCUCAGAGGCACCAGCAUUGCUAAAGAACACAAUUUUAACACAAACCAUGUAGCGUAUUUCAAUUCCGUGCUAAAGGUUGGCCGGAAAUGUGCUUUUUACAGACGAUUGACUCCUCAGCCCCGCCCUCUUUUUAAAAAUAAAUAAAUAAAUAAAUAAAAAAGUCGGUUGACAAAAUUGAUUUCUGUGAAUUUGCAGAGCAAAGAAAAGCAUCUUUCACGUCUUGCGUCCUUUCAGAGAAUCUGCUUUUCCUUAGUUUUCAGCUGUCUCCAGAUUGAGAGUCAUAUUUGCUAAGGAUAAAUGGCGGAGCCUCUGCUAGCAAAGCGACUUGUCGCACUUGUGGGCGUGGCCUGUUAUUUAAGGUCAAAAUGGUGAUAGCCAGAACUUACUGCCUGCAUUUAUAUUUUAUAUUAAUUUAUAGCGUGAAAAUUGAGACGUUACACGCACUUUAUAGUUACACGUCGCUAGUGUGAACUUUACUGAUUAACAUUGGUCAGUUUCCCGCAGGUAGCACUGGAUUAUGAAACUGAACACGGUCACAUGGUGCAUUUUCAAAACAGCCAAUCAGAGCCUCCCAAUCCAGCUGGUUAUCGUGUAACACGAUUCAGAAUGUAAUCAGCGUUUUACAGAUUUUACUACCUGUUUACGGCUGCUUUCACACUCCGGCUCACGUGACGUGCUCUCUGUAACCAUGGCAACAUGCUUACUAGUCCUAGCUGUAGUAGCUAGUCCAGUAUUGGCUAACUAGCCUGGCUAGCUCCGUGGAAUAUGUUUAUUAUUUGUUAUAUUGGGAAUGUAGAUGAAGUAAAGGUUGGUGUUUUGUCUUAGGUGCAGCUUCAGAAAAUUCAAGCUGCUUUUUUGUGUUUUAUUUUACGUUAUAUUUACACCGCCUCUCAGCGAUGAGACACUUUUUCUCCACCAGUGCUCCACGUCUGAGCCCGAAUCUGCGACCUGAUUGGUUAAGAGUGGAGGAGGAAACACUCCUCACGCCACUCAAAAAGAACGUGCUUCGAAACGUGUGUUUGCGGGUUGAAAGUGUGAAAGCAGCCUGCGGUGUGUGACGAACUACAACUAAAGCGAUUAUUUAAAAAAUGUUUUUGAGAUUAAUAUACGAGAUAGCGCCUUUACAUUUGUUUUUCUUUGGAAAUUAUUAAACUUGAAAUAAAAGUGAUUGCGUGUCCUGUGUCUUUAUUUCCUCUUGUUUUUAUUUGUUUACAUUUUUUUGUCAGUAAAAAUUUGGAAAGGUUUUAUUUGAGAGUGGUUUUUGUUUUGCCGUUAAUGCUGCCAUAUCUUCAGUACUGACAGAACAGAAUCGCA
ensembl:lncRNA